rnacentral:rRNA from 1 species
UACGUACCGGACAAACGUUAUUCGGAAUCACUGGGCUUAAAGAGUGCGUAGGCGGCCAGGUAGGUGAGGUGUGAAAUCCCACGGCUCAACCGUGGAAUGGCGCUUCAAACCGCCCGGCUUGAGUGAGACAGGGGUGAGCGGAACUGAUGGUGGAGCGGUGAAAUGCGUUGAUAUCAUCAGGAACACCGGUGGCGAAGGCGGCUCACUGGGUCUCUUCUGACGCUGAGGCACGAAAGCUAGGGGAGCAAACGGG